CCCCCGCAGGUGCUCCCCUCUCCGGCCGCAGGGUCAUGGCACAGCGCUGCUCCUCCCCUCCAUCGCCUUCCUCCCCAUCGGCGCGCCGCCUGCUCCGCCUCAACGGCCGGGGCCGCAGCCGCACCUGGAUCCCCCCAUCUCGCGCCGUGGCUUGCUCUGCUUCAGCGGCUAGCGAAAGCGGGAGGAGGACAACCUGAACGGAUGCGCAGGGGCGUGCGGCCGGCUUCCCCGGCUCGCGCCCUUUACUCCCUCCCCUCCCGAUCGCCCACGCGCUGCCGCCGUCCUCGUCGCCGUCCUCGUCACGUCCGACCGGCCCCACCCUAAAUGACAGGUAAUUCCUUUCAUGGGUCUUUCCCUAAAGAUUUUCUGUCGAUUUUGGUUUGAUCAUGGACCUCGCUUGCACAGUCCGGGUUUAUCUCGUGACGGAUUUUUUAGGAGAGUAAAUUGGAAGCUGGUGCAUGCUAACAUCACUGAUACCUAUUUGUCUCCUGAAUUGAAGAUAUGCAUCUGGUUUUUUGUCAAUUCGUUCCAACACAUGUGAGUCCACGGGGAUGGCAAUGGUUGGGGGCAUCAUCUUCUGAUCUAGGGUUCUAGCUUCAAUUGGAGCAUGAAUGGUGUCGCCGACCUCAGAGAAGCCACUCCUGCGCAUCGAAGGACCGCGACGAUCCUUCACCUGCAGAUGCUAUCUGGCUGACCCAUUCAAAGGUGCUCAUAUUCAAAGGCUCCCGGCGCCGCAGCUUGAAUGGUGUUUUUUUAUCUCGCCGGUGAACUGGCUCCCGGCGCCGCAGGCGAGGCCCCGAGGCCUCCUCCUAGCCCGCUGCGGGGUCCGAGGCGCCGGCAGCGGAUCCACGAGAGGUGAGGUCGGCGGCUAAACCUCUGAGUAAUUGCUAGAUUUUUUUGCUUUUGGUAGCAACAAGUUCAUAAUUUUGUUUACAGGCUAUAUAACAUUUGGCGAAGAAUCAAAAUGCUACUUUUACUUCGCCAAGAAAAAAUGAUUUACUAAUCUUUUUAUCUAGGUUCAGUUCAGAUAAUAUUCCUGAUCUUAUCUAUCUGAGAUAGCAUGGGGUGUGGAAGGGCAGGUGCUGAGCGAUCCAGCACAACCUGCAGUGUAUGAUGAGAUCCAUGGGUACACAAUAACAGCAAUAAACCCUUUCUUUGAUGACAGUGCACCCAAGGAUCAAGUGGUCGUUGAUGAGUUUACCUGCAUUGCCCUGUCGGCUGUAUCCACUGGACUUCUGCAGCACAACUGUCACUCCUUGAGAAGAUGCAUAGAGUAGAGAGGGUGAAUGUUGGUUUGAUGCUUGCUGGUAUGGGAGCUUCGGUCGAUGUUUUUUGAAUGGCAAGUGCUCGCUCGAAAGAGAGGCAAGCAAAAGUCUUGCAUUGGAAAAAGUCAGAAAACGGAUGGUGAACCAAGAUAAUUCAGACACAGGCAGGUCUUGGAGUGAUGUCCGGGGAUCCCCACAACGAGAUCAAAACUAUGCCCUGGGAAAUCCAUUUGCAUAAGCUCAAUUUUGCUAGGAUUAGUUCUUGUAGGAAGAGCUGCUUUUUUUCCCCGCUGUCCUUCUUGUCCAACUUAACGAAAAAAAGACACCUUUGGAAAAAAAAUAACCUGGAGAUGAUCGUAAUAUGGUGCGCCGGGCUGAUGAGAGGGGCCGUGUCCAUUGCUCUUGCUUAGAACAAGUUUCCUACACUUCGAGAGUUUGUCAGUGGUGGAAAGCCUGUCUGGGGAACUUGUGCUGGGCUUAUCUUUCUUGCAAAUAAAGCAGUAGGGCAAAAAACUGGGGUCCAGAAAACUUGUUGGAGGACUAAAUUGUACUUUCCACCGUAACCUUUUUGGGAGUCAGACUGUUUCUCUUGCAGCUCCAAAGCUUUGAGACAGCUCUCUGUGCCAAAGCUUGCCGAGAAGGAAGGAGGGAAUGAUACAUCGCUGGUGUAUUUAUACGGGCACCUGCUAUAUUGGAAGUAGGUUCAGAUGUUGAAAUAUUGGCUGAUUGCCCUGUUCCUGCCAAUAGACCCAGCAUUAUAAUAUCAUCUGGGGACAGUGCUGAGGUUUGCAUAUUGCUUUCUUGACUAUAAUACUGCAAUGUGUUGCAGUUCUUAACUCCGGAUUCUGAAUGAGGUCUGCUUGUCCUCUCAACUGACCAGCAAUACACUUGGCAAAAAGGAGUGUAUUUGAAAGAUCGGGUAAUUGUUGCGGUACGGCAAGGGAACAUUCUAGCAACUGCCUUUCAUCCAGAAUUGACCUCAGAUUCCUGAUGGCAUCGCUUCUUCUUGGACAUGAAUAAAGAAUCCCAGGCAAAGGCCUUGGCCGCGCUAUCAUUAUCAUCAUCUUCAAGAGACACAGAAGUCCUGCCAAAGAAUAAGCUGCUUGAUCUGCUCAUUUUUGAGUAACACUAGAAAGAAAUAAGGUCAAAGGAUUGAAGAUAGGAAGAGGAAGAAACUGACACUAUUUUUAUCACUUAGCUGGCUAUAAAAAAUGAAACAGCUGGGCACCUGCUAUGCUAAGUGGAAAUGUGUAAUCUCAACGACCAAAAUAAUGCCAACGUGUGUUGUGCACAAUUCUUCAGAUAAAGCAAAUGCUGUUGUUGAAAUUGUAACCUUGCUGUCAAAGAAGCUGCUCAAUUGAAUAUGUAAUCUUCGCCUUCAGUAAUUUUAAAGCAAUGAUAGGUGUGAGGAGAUCUGCAUGAUCCCGGAGCUAUUUCUAUAGGGAGGCUAAUUUUCAUUCCCAAUUGAUAGAGGAGGCAGUCAUAUGCAAAAGUUAAAUUUUUUCUUUUGUUAUUAUUGUUCCUCCUGUUUUGAUUGCCGAAAGGUUGAACCAUUGAAAGUGUGUGGAAGGUAGGCUAAUGCACUUUGAUUUAAUAAAUGUAAGGUGUACACGUGUAAACAUACCUAUUUUAUCUUGA